UUUUCAGAGGGCUAGUGACUAAGCCCUUACAACUAAUCACCAUCAUCAUGCAUAUGCAUGCAAUUCUACCAAGAUAGAAAAAUCAUGCUUAGGUACUCGCUCCAAAACUAGAUUAAUCGAUUGAAAAGGUCCAAGCACCUUUGGUGGCGUUCAAAGAUCAUCACUAGAGAAAGUCCAGGGGGUGGUGGUGCGCCCACGCGAUCCGCAACCCUUAAAAUACUCCGUCCGCCACAGAGUAUACAAUUGAUCUGGCUGUGCGAGCGAGCAGCACAUCUACCCCUUUAAAUACGCGCACAAUGGAAAAAUCGGUGGAAGCUGAUGGCAACAGGAGCGGCAUUAUAAAACCCACGCGGUGGCGAGCGCAAACGCGCGCGCGCGCCCCUCUCGAUCUGCCUCGCUCCCCAUGGAGCCCAGGUAGGUCCUCUGCUCAUCGCCGCCCGGCUGGUCGUCUCGUCUCCCGGAUUGGAAGGCUGCUGCCGGUGUGUAGCAAGGUGGCGACACGCGAGAUUUCGCCGGCGAGCCGAGUCGGAGACGGUGGCCGCGGAGGAGGCGGGGGCGGGGGCGCGGGGCGCCUUGGUGCUCGCUGUUGGAGUGUGAGGGCAGGGCGGGGUGCCCACUGCUGCUUCGUCGGCCUCGGCGGUACUAGCAUGAUGACGUGAGGACUUUGAUGAGAUGUGAACCGGCGCGGCGUCUGGCCGGCAUGGCGCGGGAUUGGUCGUCGCAGAGUUCGAGCCAGGGCGCACCGUUCUAGGUCGACCGUGACGCAGGGUCUGUAUCUGCAUAUGCUUGGACACAGCCUGCGUGGUGCGGUUCCGUCCAUGUCAUUCAUGCUCGGAAUCGUUCAACAAGGACGGACGGGAACACAUCAUGCUUAUCUAUCCGGAGUGUGCCGGCCGUACUACAUGUACAUUGCUUGCUUGCGCUUGUCUCCUUUCUAUGCCGACUGUUUUGGCUUUUCCAAGCUGCCGCUGCUUGCUGCAUUGUGAAGUUUUGGAUCUUGACCUGUUGCUAUUAAAGAACUCUUCGAGGUCGAUUUCUUUAUUAUUUUAA